rnacentral:rRNA from 1 species
GAUGAACGCUGACAGAAUGCUUAACACAUGCAAGUCUACUUGAACUUCGGUUUGGGUGGCGGACGGGUGAGUAACGCGUAAAGAACUUGCCUCACAGUUAGGGACAACAUUUGGAAACGAAUGCUAAUACCUGAUAUUAUGAUUUUAGGGCAUCCUAGGAUUAUGAAAGCUAUAUGUGCUGUGAGAGGGCUUUGCGUCCCAUUAGCUAGUUGGAGAGGUAACGGCUCACCAAGGCGAUGAUGGGUAGCCGGCCUGAGAGGGUGAACGGCCACAAGGGGACUGAGACACGGCCCUUACUCCUACGGGAGGCAGCAGUGGGGAAUAUUGGACAAUGGACCAAAAGUCUGAUCCAGCAAUUCUGCGUGCACGAUGACGUUUUUCGGAAUGUAAAGUGCUUUCAGUUGGGAAGAAAAAAAUGACGGUACCAACAGAAGAAGUGACGGCUAAAUACGUG